GACAACAAAGACCUGCCUCGGGUACAUUAUUGCUUUUAUAAUGCGGUUGCCAGUGACUUAGUUAAGCAACGAGGUACGAGAGGCAGUACUUUAUCAUCCAAUAAUGUAACAGUUCGAGGGUAGUGUUGGGCCUAACACUACUGCCUCAAGUGCCUUAAUUGCGGCUACCAGGGAAAUUAUAAAUAGUAAAUAACUGCCUUUCAGCACAAAAUAGUUGUAGCCACAAAUUGUUGACGAUCGCAUUUCAGUAGCCUAGAGAAAAAUAGUCCCUGUAAGUGCAUGUAAAUCGCAUUGGGUCAGCUUGCAAGAUCUUGCACCGUCUCAUGCAUCCACAUCGCUCAAGGCGUCCACCUUAAUUGAUCCUGUUGUGAAAAGCUAAAACCUGAAAUGACAACUAACCGUGACACAAAAUCAAACUGUUAUUGUGAUGUCUAAUUAUCUAAUUAAACCUGAGUGGGAACGAAGUAGUAUGAAAUGUGAACCGAGAUAAACCCCAAACUUUUUUAUAGUCGAGCAAAAGAAAAUGAAUUGAUAUAGUGUGUGUGAGGUAUCUUGUUAUUGCGGUGGGAGGUGCUGCACUGUGGAAUUGUAGUAGACCACUGAAUUGCCUGUUAAUUUUUGCAUACAGUCUUUCUGUCUUAAUAAACUGAGGCAUGUUCUCCUUGGAUCAGUUCCAGACAAGGAUGACCUCUCUAACUACUAAAGAAAAAUUGAUUUCUUCCAUUUUUCAUGGACCCUUUUAGGUUGUGAUUUUGUCAAUUCAGAGGUGGAUCAUUAAGAGCCGAACUUCACCAAAUGAAUUGACAAAAAUGCAGCAGGACUUUGGAUGGAACUUUGAACUUGGACGGCGCAACGUCCGAACUAACGCCUGCGUGCGCGUUCAGGAUUCAAACACCCGUGCGCGUGGCCGACAGCACGAAAUGCCUGUCAUGAGCAGCAAAUAGUUUGAUUCUGCGGUUGGCGGAUUUUCAAUAGCAGACAUGGACAAAAUAACAGCAUUGGCAACUAACCGUUCCAAUAGGUUUGAUCGACCGAAGCCCUUGAGACCUCUCUCCAUAUAUUCUAGGAUGGUCUUGCGUAAGCAGGAGGCCAGUCUACAACAGAGAGAGUCCUCAAAUCCUUUCAUGAAUUAUACAGUCGACGUGGUAAACAACAGUGCCAAAAAAAGAAAAUUACAGAAUUUGAGUUCCGAUGAUGGCUAUGAGACUCCAGCGAAAAAACUGUGUAGUCCAAAGGAUUUGUCCCCAGACCUUGGGUGUUUCAUGGACUACAACAGCCCUCCUGCAACAGAUGACUCUCUGUCACCGUUAGCCGUCCCCACGCCUGCUCUGUUAAAUGAGCCACAAACUAUUAAGAUUGAGAUUAAAGAACGUGCAUGUUCCCGGGUACACUCUCCACAUUUGGCGUGUGGGUCCUCCACACGGCGAGGGGUUGAUGAGGGAUCUGUACCACACAGUUUGAGGUGUGACAAUGUCCCCUUAAAUCUUGCAUCUGCUUUUGACUGCAAUACUGAAGACCUCUUGUGUCUCGAUGCCUUUGGCAACGCAGAAAGCAGCGAAAGUCAGACUAGCGACGCACUGCAAAACAAUGUGUCUCAUGCUGUAAGUGUGCCGGUGUUGGAGGCUCAAAACCUUCAUGUGGAGACUUUGGAAGGUGAUGCUGAAGAGUCAUGGAAUAUUGGUCGCCCCCUAUUUGAGUCGUCCCUUUUUCACGUGAUGCUGGGUGGAGAGGAAGACUCUUUAGACACAAGUUACGAGACUACGUUACCCCUCCAAGUUAAGGUGUGCACUUUUUCAAGGUGAAAUCGGUGGUUGUGGCUCCCGGUCAGCAGACCUCCAGCAGUAAAGCGGCAGCCCCGCCUGUGAAAGAGCGGCCCGCUCAGCCCAAUGAGCCCAGCCCACACGAGAAGAGGCACUUUGAGACUGCCAGGUCUUGCGCCGCUGCUGGGAACAUAAGGCCGGUGAUCUUUGACCGGGAGAGGGACUUGGAGCACCAGAAGAAUCUGUAUGUCCAUUCGGUCACCAGACACAUGAAAGAGCAUCAAGGAUCGAAUCAAGUCAUGACUGAGCUGGUGAACCUGAUGAACCAUGUAGCCGACCAGAGACCAGUAACUCGUGGAAGAGGGUGGCAGCAUCCCUCUGACCUCACGCGCAGGAACUACCAAGAACGGUUUGGAAACGUGAUUCCAAAAAUGACCCUCCGUGAAUGGUACUCCCAGAAAAAUCCACAAAAAAAGCGCUUUGCAAAGAUCCCAGCAUUUUUUCAAAGGAGUCAGUUUCCCUAAAUUAGGAGCGGACUGUUGGCACUAAAGCUCUUGAAACCGUAUCUAAUAUGUGUAGCAGUUACCCCUCUGUCAAUGUUUGCUCUCUUCUCCUUUCUUCGUUGUAUCUGUGCUUUGUCACUUGUGUGUCAUGUGUAAGCAAAUUAAUGCAUGUUUUUGAUGUUAUGGCAAUUAUGAUUGGGAACAAGCAAGGGUUUAUAAGCAUGUUUAAUGCCUUGCAUUUUUACUCAAUUUGAAAAUAUGCAUGUUUUAAUAUGUAUUUAAAAGUUUUUUUUUUUUUUGUUGCUAGUUCAAAUGUAUUCCAUUCAUGUUCCCUGUGUGAUUAGAACCGUCCAUGCACUGACAGGUUUAUUACCUGUUCCUGUUGUUUUUCUUGUGCCCUUCUCAUUGGCACAGUGUUGCUUGAAAGUUUUGUUUUGUUUUUAAGGUCAAUUGACCCUUAAACAUGUUUCAAGCAGAAGCAAAAGGUUCUAACUAUCUUGAUAGUCCACAGACCUCUGGACACUUAACUACUUGUAUAAUGUGUUUUAAUAAACUGUCCACGCAGAGGUCUGAUUUACACUAAACCAUAAACCCUUUGAGCUCUUUUUAGAACGGCACUUCUAAGAACCACAGAAACAAUUUCCGUUUGCCUCUCAGAUUAUUUGAGAACCUUAGCAAGAAGCUAAACGUGACCUCCAGAGGUUACGCUGUAAAAUGUUAGUGAAUUAACCUGUGUGUGUUCUGCACUGACGGUGUCGUUGAACCCUGACAAUAGAAUUACAAAAAAAUGUGGCAACGCCUCUAGAAUACAACGUGUGUGUGUGUGUGUGUGUGUUCUAUCCACAAUAAAGCCGUGUUCAACACCACAGUCGUCAUCGUAGUUCUGACCACAGCGCCCAGGUACAGGCAGACAGAGGGGCACCUGAGGGACCCAAAUGCACAGAACUUAUCAGCACAGGUCUCGUUGGUUGAAUAAUGCAUGCUGUCCGUCCGGAAAGGCACAGGAGUGCCGUGUCAGACUCCAGGGCAGUGCCGCUUUGCCCUCCCAAUUCAUUAGGCUUUCGGGUGUGACAUCAUCGGGACGGGAGACCCGCUGCCUCUUGUCGACGUGCUCAGCCAAGCAAUCGAGCUUAAUGGUGCGUCGAUUAAUAGUCACAUAAUCUGAUGAGGGACUUGCGUACAAUUCAAAUGGUUUGAAAAAAGUCCAUUCCUACCCAGAAGGCACUUUGGACAGUUUGUGGGUGUGUGUUUUUUUUUGAUGGAGAAGACUCUUGACAGCCUGAGGUCGACAUGUAUUAUUCACUAAGCAAAAGCUCUCCAAAAAAAAUGUUACCACCCUGACAGGUCGGCCCAUCUCAUGUUUUAGUUAACAUAGACUAGUGGAAAAUAUUAAGAUUGAUUUUAUUUCAUUGAAGCAGACACAAGUAAACACCUCAUACUCUUCAUAAUGUGGAGCUUCGUAACCUUGUGCAUAAGUUGAACCAUGCUAGCCCUCAUUAAGCAGUGACCUGUGUACGCUUCAUGCAUAUCGACACGAUGGCACUGACCAAGCAGGUCUUCCUCCCACACCGCGCUGCUUUUCCAAUCACGUUCCUACAUUUUAAGGAACCCCAAAUGUUUCCAGCCGUCUUUAUAAACCGAUAGAAAAUAUACGCAGUGUUAAGUUGUGAUUGGGCUGAAAGUCCCCCGUGGAAUGUUGAAUUCUUACUGUGGUCACCGAGAGCUCUUCGUAUCCGUGGUUGACGGGUAGAAUUCUUCUGCUCCU